rnacentral:rRNA from 1 species
ACGGGAGGCAGCAGUGGGGAAUAUUGCACAAUGGGGGAAACCCUGAUGCAGCGACGCCGCGUGAGUGAAGAAGUAUUUCGGUAUGUAAAGCUCUAUCAGCAGGAAAGAAAAUGACGGUACCUGACUAAGAAGCCCCGGCUAACUACGUGCCAGCAGCCGCGGUAAUACGUAGGGGGCAAGCGUUAUCCGGAUUUACUGGGUGUAAAGGGAGCGUAGACGGUAAGGCAAGUCUGAAGUGAAAUGCCAGGGCUCAACCCUGGAACUGCUUUGGAAACUGUCCUACUAGAGUGCAGGAGAGGUAAGUGGAAUUCCUAGUGUAGCGGUGAAAUGCGUAGGUAUUAGGAGGAACACCAGUGGCGAAGGCGGCUUACUGGACUGUAACUGACGUUGAGGCUCGAAAGCGUGGGGAGCAAACAGGAUUAGAUACCCUGGUA